ACUAAGUUGGCAGAUAAGUGCAAUGAAUUUAGAAUUCACAUAUGUGGUUAAAUGCCACAUUUAGUA